UAUCGUCCCUCUUUUUAUUUUUAAAAUGUUGGGAGGUAUGGACUCCGAGAGCUAAAUUGUGCGGGUACAUGACAGACCCACUGGAAUCAUGAGCCAAAACUGUAGGCGCUGCCCAUGCCCCGGCUGUGUCUCUUAUCGUAUCAAAUACAUCCGUCAUAUGGAUCUGCUUGUGACCUUUUUGAACGUGUCUGGGUAUUUGUGCACAGUCCCUAACUCUGGAGUUCUCGGCCCCGCCUCUCCCCGCUAUUCAGCCAAUCGCUGCAGGCUUCCUGUAUGAAGGCAUUUCUGUGUGCAGCGUGUGGUGCCGAGAGAAAACAAACAGAACAAGAUAAACUUGCUGCAAUCACGGAGAGGCUCAAGGAAUGUUCUCCAAGAUCUGCUCCAGAAGUUGUUAGAGAUGUCAUGGGGUCAAGUGCAAGGGCUGGCAGUGGAGAGUUCCAUAUAUAUCAGCAUCCAACUGCUGCAUGAAGAGAGAAUGAAGAGAAACAGAUGCUGAAUAGUGAAGAUAAACUUGAUUAUUUCAGAAAUGAAAGAUGUACAGAUCCUGAAAAUUCCACAGAAUCCAGUGAUAAAACAGAUUUAGAAGACCAAUGACUUCAAUGUAGAACAAUGUAUUCUCCAGCUUCAACACCAUGGACUUUACAUUUUCCAUUAAAGGCGUUAUUUUUCGAUGUGUUCAUAUUUCGUGCCUUCAGUGUUACGUUGACUUCUUGUUUUUGAAUCUGAGCACAACAUGGAACAGUACGUAAUUAUUAUUAUCUUUUUUAAAUUUUGUAAUGAUGAAAACAAAGGACAGAGUGUCAUCAAACUAAUACAAAGUUUUACUGUAAGUAAAGAUGUGUCUGAUUCUCAGGAGCAUUGGGCACAGAUACAUCACUGUAUGCUCAGCCUUAAGCAUUUUAGCAGCAGAUUAUAAACAUUAAAAAGAACAGAAAGAAAAGAAACCCUUUCAAAGUGAUAACACUUUAUCAUCAUUUAUUUUGAAAUCAUCUGUAAGUUAUGGAGAGCAUUACGAAAAGGUUAAAGAAUAAAAAUACAAUCAGAGAGCCCUGAUUACAUACAAUCUAAUAUCACUUGAUAUAUUAAAGAACCAAUAAUGCCAUGAAGUGAUUUUUUAUAACAUUCAAAGUUUGUAUACGUUUAGUCAGCACCUAAAAAUAAACUAUGUCCUGCCAACAAAUGUUACUUUAUAAUUUA